rnacentral:misc_RNA from 1 species
GACAAUCUCACCACGAACAGCAUAUUCACAUUGCAAAACCUUAGGAUUAAGGGUAUCACGAGAUACGGGAGGAGCCAUGAAUGAAGCAGAAACAGAAAAAGUAGAAAGGGAAAUCAAGAACAGAAGAAGUAGAAGACAAGAAACGGCAAUGAGAAGGGGCGAGGGGACGCGGCAAAGCUUGACUUUGAUAACGAACGGUUUAGGAGGCUUUUAGCUCUGUCAACCACGUACCUCCGCAUCCUUUGUAUAUAUAGUACAGAUGUCGAUCGC